rnacentral:lncRNA from 1 species
UAGAUGAUAAAGAGUCUCAUAUGUUUCUAAAUGGGCGACACCAAUAUUAAAAUGAGGAGUAAAACAAAAGGUGACAAAUGGAAGAGACCGAAGGAGAGGACAACAUUCGAUUGGGAGCUCUCCAACACGAAUGUUAUCGACCAGGAAAUUGAUCAAGAAUACCGCUUAUGUCGAAUAUGAAAAGAUGAAGAUAGAGUCUUGACGGAAGAGUUGUCUGCAUCUAGUGCUUACCGGAUUACCAUAAAUUCUAGAGCCAAAAGAUCUACAAUAGAUGGAAAGAAAAGCAUGUCUGAUAGCAGAUACCAUUGAAUUAUAAAACAUGCUAACAAUAAAUAGUAUUAAAUCUACUGCCAACUUAAUUAACAAGCUAAAAUAUCAAAUUUGGCAAAAAAUAAAAAUCUGACCUAAAUACAUUUGGAGGAGAAAUUUGAUGAAGAUGGAGG